rnacentral:rRNA from 1 species
CUACGGGGGGCACCAGUGGGGAAUAUUGCACAAUGGAGGAAACUCUGAUGCAGCAACGCCGCGUGGAGGAUGACACUUUUCGGAGCGUAAACUCCUUUUAUAUAGGAAGAAGAUGACGGUACUAUAUGAAUAAGCGCCGGCUAACUCCGUGCCAGCAGCCGCGGUAAUACGGAGGGCGCAGGCGUUACUCGGAGUCACUGGGCGUAAAGGGCGUGUAGGCGGAUUAAAAAGUCAGAAGUGAAAUCCUAUAGCUUAACUAUAGAACUGCUUCUGAAACUCUUAAUCUAGAAUAUGGGAGAGGUAGAUGGAAUUUCUGGUGUAGGGGUAAGAUCCGUAGAGAUCAGAAGGAAUACCGAUUGCGAAGGCGAUCUACUAGAACAUUAUUGACGCUGAGACGCGAAAGCGUGGGGAGCAAACAGGAUUAGAUACCCGGGUAGUC